GAUGAACGCUAGCUACAGGCUUAACACAUGCAAGUCGAGCGACCGGCGCACGGGUGAGUAACGCGUAUCCAACCUGCCCGUAACUAAGGGAUAACCCAGCGAAAGUUGGACUAAUACCUUAUGGUUAUGGCUGGGGUGGCGUUUGAUUGGCUUGUUGGCAGGGUAACGGCCCACCAAGGCACCGAUCAGUAGGGGUUCUGAGAGGAAGGUCCCCCGGAUCGGAACUACGACACGGUCCAAACUCGUACGGGAGGAAGCGGUGAGGAGCAGAGGGGAAUGGACGCAAGUCUGAACAAGCCGAGUAGCGUGCAGGAUGACUGGGUGUUGGUUGUCAAUUGGUUUUAUAGAGGGAUAGGUACCAGAUGAAUAAGGACCGGCUAAUUCCGUGCCAGCAGCCGCGGUAAUUC
rnacentral:rRNA from 1 species